GCCUUUAUGGUUUAGUGGGAUAAUUUUGUAAUUUUUGAGUUGAAGGUUCGAACCCUUUUGGGGCA